rnacentral:lncRNA from 1 species
UGAACCAUCGCCGCGGGCCGUAGCGCCGUCGCCGGAGCACCGUAGAGCCGCCGUACCGGAAUCCCAAAAUUGGCCAAAAUGGACCCUGAGACUGAUUUAGGGUUUGUUUUAUUUUAGUUUUAGUUAAUUAAGCCCAUAUAGUCAAGUGUAAUUCAUUUUGGGCUUAAGUCUUGUCUUAGUAUUAUUACAAGAAUGAGCCCAUAACUAUAUGAUGCCACAAACAAUUGGUGGUGUUGGUUAAGAAGAUUGGAGUUACAAUGAGUUACAUAAAAAUUACAUGCCUAUAAUU